AUUGAACGCUGGCGGCAGGCCUAACACAUGCAAGUCGAGCGGAUGAAGGGAGCUUGCUCCUGGAUUCGGCGGCGGACGGGUGAGUAAUGCCUAGGAAUCUGCCUGGCAGUGGGGGAUAACGUCCGGAAACGGGCGCUAAUACCGCAUACGUCCUGAGGGAGAAAGUGGGGGAUCUUCGGACCUCACGCUAUCAGAUGAGCCUAGGUCGGAUUAGCUAGUUGGUGGGGUAAAGGCCUACCAAGGCGACGAUCCGUAACUGGUCUGAGAGGAUGAUCAGUCACACUGGAACUGAGACACGGUCCAGACGCCUACGGGAGGCAGCAGUGGGGAAUAUUGGACAAUGGGCGAAAGCCUGAUCCAGCCAUGCCGCGUGUGUGAAGAAGGUCUUCGGAUUGUAAAGCACUUUAAGUUGGGAGGAAGGGCAGUAAGUUAAGACCUUGCUGUAUUGACGUUACCAACAGAAUAAGCACCGGCUAACUUCGUG
rnacentral:rRNA from 1 species